rnacentral:rRNA from 1 species
AGUGAACGCUGGCGGCAGGCCUAAUACAUGCAAGUCGAGCGGGCAUCCUCGGAUGUCAGCGGUAGACGGGUGAGUAACACGUGGGAACGUACCCUUCGGUUCGGUACAAAUCUGGGAAACUGGAGCUAAUACCGGAUACGCUCAUACGGGGAAAGGUUUACUGCCGCAGGAUCGGAUCGCGACUGAUUAGCUUGUUGGUAGGGUAACGGGCUCCCAAGGCGACGAUCAGUAGCUGGGCUGUGAGGAUGAUCAGCCACACUGGUACUGAGACACGGCCGAGACUCCUACGGGAAGCGGGAGUGGGGGAUAUUGGAAAAUGGGGGCAGGCAUGAUCCUUCCAUGCCGCGUGAGUGAUGAAGGUCGUAGAGUAGUAAAGCUCAAGUGUCCAUGACGAUAUUGACGGUACCGAAAGAGUAAGCCCCGGCUAACUUCGUG